CUACCGGAAUAUAUCAACAGAUUGGCCAGACUCAUUGGCUAAAUAUGUUUAAAUUGCAUUUUUCUUACUUUCUGCAGAUUUUCCUGCAAAAUUUUACUGUAGUUUAAGCUGCGUUUCCUGCAGAUUGUGUUCACAGACCAAUGGGAGACAAGUAUUUCUUCAUCAACAGGUUUAUUCGCCAUCAAUUGGUCUAGCGGGUGUUUUUCGCAUGCGCAGCUUAUGUCACAGCAGCGUAAGAACACGUUCGCUUUAAAUCAUUAUGGAUAUUUCUUUUCGGAAUAUCAAAGGUCAAUGUUGAUGUGUUUCAUAAGAUUUGUGGUGGCGGGAUUAUCGUCAUUAACUAAUUACUUGAUAUAUUUUAAUGGGGAGUGGUGUAAUGCCCGCACGACUGUUGACUUUCAUUGUAAUUGCUUGAGCUUGUUCCUGGGCUGCCUCAGAUAGCAGGAUGGUGUGUCAAGUAUCAUGGCCUGACAGGAAGGCUUUCCGGUUAUGACUGAGGCCAGCAUCUCACGUGUCCUGGCUACGCCAAAUCACUGCGGAUGCCGGAUGCCGAGGACCGGAGAGCCAACCGCUUUGAGGCGUGAGCUCUGUGGCGUGGCUCGAGUGAUCACCAGGUUCUGACGGCUACGGCGCCGUCGACCUGGUUGAAUAGCUGGGGCCUGGACGAGAGUGCCCUUAGUACGGUGGUCAAUCGGUUACGUCCGAGGGGCGCUCGAACACGCUGCCGUCGCGUGGCUGCCGGCGGCCGCCCCCUCGCACGUGAAUCUCCUGGAGCGAGGACUGCGGGAGGCGGCCGCAUCAUCACCUGUAUCCGCGCUCAACACCGUGCCACGCACUAAUGGCGGAAGCCCGACUUUCUCCGAUGGAGGAGAGAAGCUGGACGCUGGCUGCCAGGCUGCUGGGGAGGGCGCUGGGUCUGCCAUCAGGGGACCCCCUGCACGCGACCGCCGAGGCCUCGGCACCGGCGCGCCUGCCUUCGGUCCGAGGCUGGAGAUUGCGAGGCCGCCAGGCCUGGGCGAGAGCGAGAAUCCCACCGUGGCAACAGACGGCUGGCGUCACCUUCCGGUUGGACGUGUGCCCGAUCCGGGCUGGGGCCACGGCGGCGGAAAGGGAAAGCGUGGCUACGCUGCACCUCGCGUUCCUGCCCCUGUGUGCUGUCCGGCUUUGGACGGACGGAUCUGUGGAGGGCGGAGUCUUCAGGCGCUGGGCGGGAGCCGUGCUGGUCUGGCUGGACGAAGAGGUCGAGGAACUGCGGGCCCCGGCCGGAGAGUUGUGCUAUAGCUACCGCGCGGAGAUGGUGGCGCCGGUGACCGGUCCGGAGACCGUACUCGGAAGAGACAGAGACCAGGACCUGCGGUCUCCGGUCCGUACCUAUCUGCUAACUGUGCGGUAGUGCUGGUGUAGUGCAACAUUUUUGGAUGGCUAGCUACAUUUCACGAUUAAAUAGCUGGUACGUUUCAGUGCAGGUGGCGUGACGAACAAUGUGUCUGUUGGCCACUUCUGCGGAAGCUGCCAUUUCCUACUCGAAAGCGGGCGCGCUGUUUGGCUGGGCCGGCAGGAUGUUCCCACUUCCCAUGUGUCGACGGCAAAGCGAGUAUAUUCAUGUUCUUUUAAUGCACAGAAGUCUGUUGUAUAUUUGAAGUUUUAUUUUAGGUUGACGAUUGCGAAGGGCAGAUUCAUCUUCUCUCUUUCAUUUGUGUUGCCACUUUAGCGUUCAUGUUUGUCAUAAGUGUCCUGGUCCGGCUUGGUUGUCAUCUUUAUUCGUGAUGUAUUUUAUUUUACGAACAUGCUGGUGAUCAAUGCAAUACACUUGAUUAAUAA
rnacentral:lncRNA from 1 species